rnacentral:rRNA from 1 species
UACGUAGGGUGCAAGCGUUAAUCGGAAUUACUGGGCGUAAAGCGUGCGCAGGCGGUUGUGCAAGACAGGUGUGAAAUCCCCGGGCUUAACCUGGGAACUGCACUUGUGACUGCACAGCUGGAGUACGGCAGAGGGGGAUGGAAUUCCGCGUGUAGCAGUGAAAUGCGUAGAUAUCUGGAGGAAUACCGGUGGCGAAGGCGGCAUCCUGGACCGACAUUGACGCUGAGGAGCGAAAGCCAGGGGAGCAAACGGG